AAACGAAUUGCCCUUCCUACGGGAGGCAGCAGUGGGGAAUAUUGCACAAUGGGCGCAAGCCUGAUGCAGCCAUGCCGCGUGUAUGAAGAAGGCCUUCGGGUUGUAAAGUACUUUCAGCGGGGAGGAAGGUGCUGAGGUUAAUAACCUCAGCAAUUGACGUUACCCGCAGAAGAAGCACCGGCUAACUCCGUGCCAGCAGCCGCGGUAAUAAGGGC
rnacentral:rRNA from 1 species